AGGAGGCGAGGUACGCGAAGCCGUGGAGAGGCAGGCGACCGCCGCAUCGCCAGCGACCAGGGCCGCAUCAGUGACGCGUGCGACACCUAGGCACAGCCAGGAUUCAAGUCACACCGGAGCAAGGCGCCGGAACCACGCCGGCGACCUAGCCCCGCAAGCACCGAAACCCUAGCGAGGUUUGACCGAAGCGAGCGACCACACGAGGCAGGGGAAAGCAGAUCGAAGAGGUGGAGCAGGUAGAGCUCGGUGAGGGGGAGCCGUGGGUAUGCUGGACGGCGCCAGAGCUCGCCGGAGUUGGCAGGGGAGGCCGGCGGCAGGGGCGGCGAUUUGGGG
rnacentral:lncRNA from 1 species